rnacentral:rRNA from 1 species
CUCUCCCUCUCCUUAGGAGUAGUUUUCUGCUCCAUGAUUUAUUUUAAAUAGCCGCAGUACUCUGACUGUGCUAAGGUAGCAUAAUAAUUUGUUUCUUAAUUAGAAACGAGUAUAAAUGAGAUGACAACUUUUCCUCUUUUUUAACUUCAUUUAUAAAAAUUGAUAUUUGUUUCAAAAAGAACAACUAUUUAGGGGGACGACAAGACCCUGUGAAACUUCAUUUAAAAACUACUAUUUUAUUUAGCAAUAAACACAAGUAAUCAUAAAUUUAGCUGGGGCGGUAUUAAAAAAACUUUUAAAACUUUAACAAAAUACACGAUUUAUAUAGAUCUUGAAACCAAAAGAUAGAACAAGUUACUCCAGGGAUAACAGCACAAUUUUUUUGUAUAGAUCUCAUAGAUAAAAAAGACUUGUGACCUCGAUGUUGAAUUUGAAGUACCUUGUUUGAGCAGAAACUAACUAAGGAGGUCUGUUCGCCCUUUAAUUCUUC